CCGGCGAUGUCCGAAUGGGGAAACCCAGUGCAAUUCGUUGCACUAUCGUUAACUGAAUACAUAGGUUAACGAGGCGAACCGGGGGAACUGAAACAUCUAAGUACCCCGAGGAAAAGAAAUCAACCGAGAUUCCCCCAGUAGCGGCGAGCGAACGGGGAGCAGCCCAGAGUCUGAAUCAGCUUGUGUGUUAGUGGAACGGUCUGGAAAGUCCGACGGUACAGGGUGAUAGUCCCGUACACCAAAAUGCACAGGCUGUGAACUCGAAGAGUAGGGCGGGACACGUGGUAUCCUGUCUGAAUAUGGGGGGACCAUCCUCCAAGGCUAAAUACUCCUGACUGACCGAUAGUGAACCAGUACCGUGAGGGAAAGGCGAAAAGAACCCCGGCGAGGGGAGUGAAAAAGAACCUGAAACCGUGUACGUACAAGCAGUGGGAGCACCUUCGGGUGUGACUGCGUACCUUUUGUAUAAUGGGUCAGCGACUUAUAUUCUGUAGCAAGGUUAACCGUAUAGGGGAGCCGCAGGGAAACCGAGUCUUAACUGGGCGUUAAGUUGCAGGGUAUAGACCCGAAACCCGGUGAUCUAGCCAUGGGCAGGUUGAAGGUUGGGUAACACUAACUGGAGGACCGAACCGACUAAUGUUGAAAAAUUAGCGGAUGACUUGUGGCUGGGGGUGAAAGGCCAAUCAAACCGGGAGAUAGCUGGUUCUCCCCGAAAGCUAUUUAGGUAGCGCCUCGUGAACUCAUCUUCGGGGGUAGAGCACUGUUUCGGCUAGGGGGUCAUCCCGACUUACCAACCCGAUGCAAACUACGAAUACCGAAGAAUGUUAUCACGGGAGACACACGGCGGGUGCUAACGUCCGUCGUGAAGAGGGAAACAACCCAGACCGCCAGCUAAGGUCCCAAAGUCAUGGUUAAGUGGGAAACGAUGUGGGAAGGCACAGACAGCCAGGAUGUUGGCUUAGAAGCAGCCAUCAUUUAAAGAAAGCGUAAUAGCUCACUGGUCGAGUCGGCCUGCGCGGAAGAUGUAACGGGGCUAAACCAUGCACCGAAGCUGCGGCAGCGACACUAUGUGUUGUUGGGUAGGGGAGCGUUCUGUAAGCCUGCGAAGGUGUGCUGUGAGGCAUGCUGGAGGUAUCAGAAGUGCGAAUGCUGACAUAAGUAACGAUAAAGCGGGUGAAAAGCCCGCUCGCCGGAAGACCAAGGGUUCCUGUCCAACGUUAAUCGGGGCAGGGUGAGUCGACCCCUAAGGCGAGGCCGAAAGGCGUAGUCGAUGGGAAACAGGUUAAUAUUCCUGUACUUGGUGUUACUGCGAAGGGGGGACGGAGAAGGCUAUGUUAGCCGGGCGACGGUUGUCCCGGUUUAAGCAUGUAGGCUGGUUGUCCAGGCAAAUCCGGAUAAUCAAGGCUGAGGUGUGAUGACGAGGCACUACGGUGCUGAAGUAACAAAUGCCCUGCUUCCAGGAAAAGCCUCUAAGCAUCAGGUAACAUCAAAUCGUACCCCAAACCGACACAGGUGGUCAGGUAGAGAAUACCAAGGCGCUUGAGAGAACUCGGGUGAAGGAACUAGGCAAAAUGGUGCCGUAACUUCGGGAGAAGGCACGCUGGUGUGUAGGUGAAGCCCCUGCGGGUGGAGCUGAGACCAGUCGAAGAUACCAGCUGGCUGCAACUGUUUAUUAAAAACACAGCACUGUGCAAACACGAAAGUGGACGUAUACGGUGUGACGCCUGCCCGGUGCCGGAAGGUUAAUUGAUGGGGUUAUCCGUAAGGAGAAGCUCUUGAUCGAAGCCCCGGUAAACGGCGGCCGUAACUAUAACGGUCCUAAGGUAGCGAAAUUCCUUGUCGGGUAAGUUCCGACCUGCACGAAUGGCGUAAUGAUGGCCAGGCUGUCUCCACCCGAGACUCAGUGAAAUUGAACUCGCUGUGAAGAUGCAGUGUACCCGCGGCAAGACGGAAAGACCCCGUGAACCUUUACUAUAGCUUGACACUGAACAUUGAGCCUUGAUGUGUAGGAUAGGUGGGAGGCUUUGAAGCGUGGACGCCAGUCUGCGUGGAGCCAACCUUGAAAUACCACCCUUUAAUGUUUGAUGUUCUAACGUUGGCCCCUGACCGGGGUUGCGGACAGUGUCUGGUGGGUAGUUUGACUGGGGCGGUCUCCUCCCAAAGCGUAACGGAGGAGCACGAAGGUUAGCUAAUCCUGGUCGGACAUCAGGAGGUUAGUGCAAUGGCAUAAGCUAGCUUGACUGCGAGCGUGACGGCGCGAGCAGGUGCGAAAGCAGGUCAUAGUGAUCCGGUGGUUCUGAAUGGAAGGGCCAUCGCUCAACGGAUAAAAGGUACUCCGGGGAUAACAGGCUGAUACCGCCCAAGAGUUCAUAUCGACGGCGGUGUUUGGCACCUCGAUGUCGGCUCAUCACAUCCUGGGGCUGAAGUAGGUCCCAAGGGUAUGGCUGUUCGCCAUUUAAAGUGGUACGCGAGCUGGGUUUAGAACGUCGUGAGACAGUUCGGUCCCUAUCUGCCGUGGGCGCUGGAGAAUUGAGGGGGGCUGCUCCUAGUACGAGAGGACCGGAGUGGACGCAUCACUGGUGUUCGGGUUGUCAUGCCAAUGGCACUGCCCGGUAGCUAAAUGCGGAAGAGAUAAGUGCUGAAAGCAUCUAAGCACGAAACUUGCCCCGAGAUGAGUUCUCCCUGAGACUUUAAGUCUCCUGAAGGAACGUUGAAGACGACGACGUUGAUAGGCCGGGUGUGUAAGCGCAGCGAUGCGUUGAGCUAACCGGUACUAAUGAACCGUGAGGCUUAACCUUACAACGCCGAAG
rnacentral:rRNA from 1 species